GUGCUCACUUUAGCAGCAUACACACUAAGAUUGGAAUGAUACAGAGAAGAUUAGUAUGGACCCUGUGCAAGGAUGACAUGAAAAUCUGUGAAGCCUUCCAUUAAAAA
rnacentral:snRNA from 1 species